AAAUUUUAAUUUUGGAUAAAAUUAAAUAUAAAUUUUUAAAACAUGGAAUAAUAAACAAGAUAAACUUAUACCAGUUUUUAUAAUUUUUAAUUUUUUAAAAAAUAAAAAGAAAAGAAUAAACUGACAGAUUAAGUGCCAGCAGUCGCGGUCACACUUAAAGUAUUUUAAUCAAUCGGGAGAUGUAGUCAUUUUAAAAGAGAAAAUUUAAAAAAUUUUAAAAUUAGGUUAAAUUUUAUUAUAAUUUUAUAUUUAAAUAAUUAAGAUACUACAAAAACUUAAAUAAAAAAAGGAUUCGAUACCCUUGUAUAAAGAAAGAAAAUUUUCCCAGAGUAAAAACAGAAGACUGUAAACUCAAAAAAUAUGGCAGUAUAAAUAAAUUUUAGGGAUGCUUGAUUUUUUAAAUUUUGAAAAUACCCAUUUACCUUACUCAAUUUUUUUAAUGGUUCUAUAUCCCCGUUUUAAGGAAAUAACAAUAAUUAAAUAAACCAAAAUAUUUUAAAAGUAAAAAUUCAGGCCUAGACAGAGUAAUUUGAGAAAAAUUGAGCAUCAUUGAAACAAUCUUAAAAGAAUAAUUUUUUAAAAUAACUUUUUUAAAGAACUUAAAAGUAAUUUUUUCAAGAAAGAAAAAAUGAAUAUUUUUAUUUAU
rnacentral:rRNA from 1 species